rnacentral:piRNA from 1 species
UCCAAUGAGAAAUGCCAAUUUUACGAU